rnacentral:snRNA from 1 species
AAUGAUAUAUUUUCUUGUUUGA